rnacentral:rRNA from 1 species
UACGUAGGUGGCAAGCGUUGUCCGGAUUUACGGGGCGUAAAGAGCGCGCAGGCGGUCGUUCAAGUCGCGUGUGAAAGCCCCCGGCUCAACUGGGGAGGGUCACGCGAUACUGAUCGACUCGAAGGCAGGAGAGGGAAGUGGAAUUCCCGGUGUAGUGGUGAAAUGCGUAGAUAUCGGGAGGAACACCAGUGGCGAAGGCGACUUCCUGGCCUGUUCUUGACGCUGAGGCGCGAAAGCUAGGGGAGCAAACGGG